AACGAACGCUGGCGGCAGGCCUAACACAUGCAAGUCGAGCGAAGCCUUCGGGCUUAGCGGCGGACGGGUGGGUAACGCGUGGGAACGUGCCCUUUGGUAAGGAAUAGCCCCGGGAAACUGCGAGUAAUACCGUAAGUGCCCUUCGGGGGAAAGAUUUAUAGCCAAAGGAUCGGCCCGCGUUGGAUUAGGUAGUUGGUGGGGUAAUUGCCUACCAAGCCGACGAGCCAUAGCUGGUUUGGGAGGAGGAACAGCCACACUGGGACUGAGACACGGCGCAGACUCCUACGGGAGGCAGCAGUGGGGAAUCUUAGACAAUGGGGGAAACCCUGAUCUAGCCAUGCCGCGUGAUCGAUGAAGGCCUUAGGGUUGUAAAGGUCUUUCAGUGGGGAAGAUAAUGACUGUACCCACAGAAGAAGCCCCGGCUAACUCCGUGCCAGCCGCCGCGGUAACAC
rnacentral:rRNA from 1 species